rnacentral:rRNA from 1 species
AUUGAACGCUGGCGGCAGGCCUAACACAUGCAAGUCGAACUAGUGGCGGACGGGUGAGUAAUGUCUGGGAAACUGCCCGAUGGAUGGGGAUAACUACUGGAAACGGUAGCUAAUACAGCAUACCAUCGGAUGUGCCCAGAUGGGAUUAGCUGGUAGGUGAGGUAAAGUCUAACCUAGGCGACGAUCCCUAGCUGGUCUGAGCGGAUGAUCAGCCAGAAUUGAAUUGAUACACGGUCAAGACUCCGACGGUAGGCAGAAGUGGGGAAUAGUGCACAAUGGGCGGACGCCGGAUGCAGCCAGGCCGGGUGGAUGAAGAAGGCCUUCGUGUUGUAAAGUACUUUCAGCGGGGAGGCGUUACCCACAGAAGAAGCACCGGCUAACUCCGUGCAAGAAGCCGCGGUAAUAC